GGAAAAUCCAAUCACGCAGAAUAUCACAAAGUCCGCGAAUGAAGUCCUAGAGACUGGAGUAUGGAUGAAGAAACAAAGAGGAGAAAAGUUAAUUGGACUGGAAUCAGGUCCGAUGUUUGGUUUGUGGGUGUGGGCUGGACGGUGGAAAUAAACAAGGACACUGCUCAGGAGACAGACACUAGAAGUUUUCAUUGCAAAGUGCCAGUUAAAGCCUUGAGAGAUGAUGAGCCUCCAGGUGGUAAUAUCUGCAGUGAGACAAUGGAUGGAGGAUGCCAGUAACUGAGAGGUCAGCCAGAUGAAACCGGGAGAGAAGGACUUAGGGAAUUUGCAAGUAUUCCAAGACAAAGCUCCUCUGCUAACCCUGAGUCACACAGUGGUGACUUUUUGAGUUCAGCUUCAGAGGACAUAGCACAUAUAGGAGAAUGGAGACAAAACAACAAGUGUAUAAAAAUAAUAAAGAUUGGUCACAGAUAUUAUGUACCCCAAGAUACAGAGUAAUGAUUAGGAAGCAUCACCCUGAGGUAGGUGAUAAAAUGGAUGAGGUUGGAGAGAUUUUACACUCCAAACAGCUAUCUCCUGCAAAGCUAGGUUAUAUAUCGUGGUAGAUGGCACACUUGUGGCCAAAUAAGAAAAUGGAAUAUGAGGCUGGAGAAUAAAGGCCAAUGAUGCACUCGGUUACAAGAUCCUGGUCUUUUUGUGAAAGAGAGUGUAUUCUAAAAUGCCAAAGCAAGAAAUAGUCACUGCCUAAACACCCUCUUGAAACUGAAAUAAAGAAGCAAACCCAGAAUGCAAAGCUUGACCUGAGUCCUGGGCUCUGUACUAGGCGUGGAAAGAGGAAUGUGUGGGUAGGAAUGUCUGGCUAUUUUCUCUCUGUGCCCAGCAUCAGGAAGAAGCCACUGUGGAUAUGAUUGUCCAGAUCUACUGCAUUUUGUUCUUUCUUUGGCAGGUUUUCUGUAAAUGUAAAAGCAACAGUAUUUGUGUGUCACCUUCUCUGUGGUUUUUAACCUCCACUACCUCAUGGAAUUGAUAAUAUUAUUUUGAUCAUUAUAACGAUGUGGAAAAUGAGGCAUGGAAUGAGGUAGUGCCUUCGUUAUCUAGCGUAGGUACAGGCUGAGUCAGGAUUUAAUCAGAUUUGGGUAUUUGAUCUCUGUGACCUUCUGCAAUAUAUCAACCUAUUUGUUCAGUAAACAAUGUCUGAGCCUAUAGAAGAUUCCUCUAAUUUGUUUAUUAGCUGAGUCGGUUCUCACUUAAUUACACGUAUCAAUACUGAGAGGGACCAUCUUUAUGGGUUCACAUUUAAAGUUUAAACAAAAUAAGAAGCUUUUAUUUCAUAAAAUUUAAACAAUAAUAAACACAAAAAAUUGAUAAAGGCAGAAAGCAUUGUAAAUAGCAGAGGACACUAAGUCCCUCUAAAAUCCUGUGCAAGGUGGUGUAAUAGGAGCAUUGAGAAUCCUCACACAUUUUAAACACUGUGUUCGUGAUUUGCCUGAAAGGAAGCAUUAAAAGAUGUUAGAAUUGUCUCUGUAGGUUUCCCCAUCAUGAUCUUGAUGCCCCCUUGCUGAUAGAAUUCCUCUUCCCUCUCUUCGACUGGACUCCUGGAGCUCAGCCUGGUACUUGGCUGUGGAUCUCUGCAUCUGCUUCCAUUAGUUACUGAAUGAAGGCUCUGUGAUGCAACCAAAGCAAGCUCGUGAGAACUCAUGAACUUUAGACCAACAGCUGUGGAGCCUCCAUGGGACCGGACUAGGCCCUCUGCAUAGGGUGAUCGAGAACCCGUUGAAGCCCUGCUGGCCGGGGCAACUGGCGCCCAACAUGGAUGAAACCACCUCUUGAGGAUUUGGAACGUCGUCUCAUGCUACACUUUUUUAUUAAAUUAAAUGAUAAUAGGACUUGGGGUGUGGAUCAACAGUAGAGAGUUUGCCUGACAUGCUCCAAGUCCUGAGUUCAAUCCUCGGAAUUAAAAAAAUAUAAAUGUACAUGUAAAUAAUGUGUUAUGAUCUCCCUGUAAAGCUUUGCUGAAGUUCAAUCACCGUUGCUCUUGUUAUGGAAUGCACUUUCACACAGAACACACUGCAGCAAUGCAGUAUUAGGCACUGACUUUGAAUGCAUAGUAUCUCAUCCCUUUCUCAUUUAGGUAAGUGCAAAUGUGCUCAAUCUUAUACAUGAGGGUAUUGUUAUCUAGUUAGUGGUAAUGAGUAGGGUUUGUCAUAAGAGUGCAAAUUUCUUAAGAAUUCAUUCAAGUUCACCUCUCCCAUGUCUUAUGCAUGCCUGGUUAUUUGAGAAACCACAACUGCAAAUGGGUUUGUAUUAUUUAAGGGGUAGUGACAUUUAUUUUCCUCCAGGAAGACAUUUCCAUUUAUAACACAUGAGAUUUUCCCUACAGGUCCUUCCCAUUUGGUUGUUUUCAUCCCUGCUCCAUUGGUCUACUUAGCAAAUGACUGCCUCACAAAUGGAAUGUACAUUAGCUCAGCCAUUAUCAGUCUUUGCUAAGCAGGAGGAUUGAGCGGCCUCCACCAGCCUUGUCAGAGGUCUGGGAGCAUGUCACUGUGAGAAGACAUUUCUUUCUGGAGAUUCAUAUCAUGCCUAACUUCUAAACUCCCUAAACAUAGUUCCUCAUUUCAAGGAGAUUACCAGUCUGUAGAAAGCAAGAUUUUUUAAAAUAUAAUACUAUAUAUCCCACAUCAAUGUGGUGAAUGCCCAAAAAUAGGAGAGGGGGAGAGACAGAAAAAGAAAGUCAUUCACUAAAACAAAAGUCAGAAACUGCUCACCCAAGUGUUCUAAGGAUAUGGAGUUUCCUAGAGAGACAAGGGGAUGUUAAAGCAGCCAAAAAGCAUUGGGACUGUCAGUCUGGCAGGAAACACCUCACAGGAGAAAGUCAGCUGAACUCACACACAUUGAUUCAUAUCAACAUUUGAAAACCUCUGCUGUUUUGUGACAAGUUCUCGUGCGGGCCAGGUUGGCCUUAAACUCACUGUGUACUGACAGAUAACCUUGAACUUCUGAUCUUCCUGCCUCCCAAAUGCUAGGGUUACACCGCAUCUUACCUGGGUUGUACGCCAGGCUGGGUAUUGAACCUAGGGCUUCCUGCACACGAAACUAGCACUCUGCCAGCUGAGCUACGACCCCAGACAUUCAGUACCUCUCACUAAGGAGAGGGGCUGUGUAAAGCUGGAGAAUGGACUAGGCCAAUGAGAUAUCAUGGAUAACAAGGCUGCCCAGGUGGCCGUGGCUAGCAAAUUAUAUGGCAGUCUCAUUGCACUUCCUGUGUGGCUGGUGAGAUGAAAACGCCUUACCCAUCGUAGGGCAUUUCAGAAACAAAGUCCUAGAGAAAGACCUGAGUUUACACAGGGACAACACAGUAUUAUGUUUCUGCUCAUGAGGUAAGUUCCAGAAAUUCAAGCAUGCACUCCAAUAUCACAAGACCCUCCAACACACAAAUGCCUGUCGGUAAGGGGUAAUGUAUCCUCUGCAGGUGUGGGAAUGUAAUCACCAAUCCCCUCUGCAAUAUCACUGUUGCUUGAGUAUAGCAUACUCCUCCACUGAGAGGGAAGUGUGUCCACACCAUCUAGAGCUAGUCAAUACUUGCAUAUUACCGAUGCUUAGGAGUAUAGCAUACUCCUCCACUGAGAGGAACGUGUGUCCACACCAUCUAGAGUUAGUCAAUGCUUGUCUAGAUUAAGUCAGCCCUUGGCUAAGUAUUGUGCCCUGGUGGUAGCUAGCUGGCAAAACUGUUCGGGAUUUUAUUUUAAAUAAGGAGAGGAAAAUUAUUUAUAGUCAUUAGAAUUUGCAUGGCUUUUGUUCAGGAAUAAAUUAUGGACUCUUGAUAGGAGCAAACGAUUUAAGAGGUUUGUAGACUUAAUAAAUACUGGCAUGGUGUCCCAGUCUUCAGUCUGAUUUAGGAACUGCAAAGGCAAUCCUGACUCCUUUAGGGAUGAAGCUGUGGUUCAUUUCGGGUGACCAGUGAAGUGAAGGAGCUCGAACAUUCUCCAUGUGUCAGUUAACUGAUCUUGGCAAGACCAGAGCCUUCUAAAGAGAUUUGUUUUGUUUGAAGGAGCGAAUAUUUGGCUCUACUUCAGUGACAUUUUGGAGCAGUCUUCUUAGUUGCUAUUGUGACUAAAAAUUUCAUUCAUCACCUGUGCCACCAUCUUUGUAUAAUAUGCCAUUUUAAAGAGGCUGGGGGAUUCCUAAUGGGCCCUCUGAGACUCGUACUGUUUAGAGCUCCCUCACCGACCUCUGACAUAAAGAGAGCAAUGUGAACAUCCCACCUCAGAAACCCGGUUCCAUCAUCUCUCUUCUCUCUGUAGUGAGUGUAGCUUUGAUCUCUUCCUUCUACUGGGGUCUCUUUGGCAAACACACUCUGUCACUUCCACAUCUUCAAAUAGGCUUUUUGAGCAGCACUCCUCCUGACUUCUCCUCCACUCAUAGACAUGAUCCUAGGCAGACACUCUAUGUUCACCCCCUGGGCACCUCGUGUCCUAGUCAGCAAUAGUACCGACAAUGCCUAUGAUCUCCUCUGUGUGUCUUGCUAUGAUUUCUUCAUGAUGCCUCACUGCAGACCACACAUUACUUUUAAAAUCUCUCAUUCCAAUUUCUUACCCUCAUUUCACCCUUUCUAAAACCCCCGACUGUUGUUUCCCUCUUUUCCUUUUGUGGUUCCACCUUUCCCCUCUAUUAUCCUUUAAACAUUGUUGUCGACUUUCCCAUCCUUUUCUCCAGAGCUUCAAAGAUGUGCUUUCAUCCUGGGAGCUCAGAUCUGUAUCAUCAGGAUGGGACCGCCAUCUGAGUGUCAUACCCAUAAUGUCCCUUGUUAUGCGAGUGCUGCACCCAAGCGUCUCAUAAUCACUUCAAACUCAGCUUGGUCACAACCGACUUCCCACAUUUCUAAGCAGUGGAAUACUGCUUAGAUCUGAUCUAGUUCAACUUUGGGGAAUCUCUCUUUUUUAAACCUAGUUUAUCUUUUUAAAAAUCUUAAUGUGAGACAUACAUAUGAUGGAUAUAUGUGUGUGUGCAUGCUCAUAUGUGUAAAUGUGGGCACAUGAACGACAUAGUGUUCAUUUGGAGACCAAGACAACCUGCAGUCCAGUUGUUUGCCUCUACUUUGGACAGGGUCUUUUUGUUGCUCGAAGCUGUGUAGACCAGGCUAUCUUCCUUGUGAGCUUCCCGGUAUUCUCCUGCCUCCCAUCUCAGCACAGGAACAUGUGGGCUCACAGAAGCUUGAAGCCUGUGGAGAUAUUCUUCCCUAUCACUGAGCUUCACCGCAUGCUUUAGAAAGAGAAACAAGAGACUUACCUGCCCUAGCUAUUAACAUGUAGAUCCUCCCACAGAAGGAGAUCUGCCUUACUCAUUUUCACAUCUUCAGUACCAAGGCACAAGCAUUUGAGAGCUAAUUCGCCAGCAGUGCCGUGUAAUGAGGUCUCCUUACAGCUUUGGGUUUUUUGCACUAACGGGAAGCAUAUUAGACCAGAGUCCCUAAGCUUGGUGGAAGACACUCUCUGGUGUAACUGCUUAGUCAAGGAUUGCUUUCAUUUCUCCAGGAAGCUAUCAAAACGCAGCCAUGCUGCCACAGCUCACCUCCUCGCAGGCAAGCACAUGAACACAAUCUCAGGAGAACACAGAAGUGGAGGAAAGUGCCUAAAAGUAUGGCUGUGAGGGAUCGCUGCAGUUACAGAGGAAACAUGGUGGUAUGCUCUAGGGAGAAGGAGCAGGUCUGUCUUCCACUUUGAUGUUUAACAUUCAGUAGGCUAAAAGCAUUCUGUCUGUAGUCAUGAAUAACAGCCUUGAAAAAUGUGAAGACAUUUUAACAUUAAGCCUUACAAAUAUAAAAAUCUCAAAAGAAAAAAAGUGAAUUGAAAAUGUAAAACUCCUGCAGGACAAUCUCAUCCCUCCCUCCCCCUGGGAGCCCCUAUGGUCUCUCAUCGGCCCUGUCUCUUUGGAUUUUACUGUUCUAACAUGCCUACCACACCUCAUGUGUAGAAAUCAGAGGACAGCUGGUGGGUGUCAGUUCUCUCCUUCUACCAUGCUGGUGUGGAGGACCGAACUCAGAUGGCCAGGCUUGGCCGUAAACAGCCUUACAUGCUGAGCCUGAAUUUGACUGUUCUGGGUCCUUUCUGCAGGUAAAUAAGAACAAUAUCAUUCCUUUGGUUAUUGCUUUAUUUCACUUAGCAUAAUAACCUCAAGGUCCAUCAAAGUUACAGUGUAUGUCAGAAUUUCCUUCUUUAAGACUUAAUAUUGUUUUUAUGUGUUGUUCUCCUUUUCCCCUUCAUUUGUCUGCUCAUGGGCACUUGGGUUGUUUUUUAUUUUUAGUUACUUUUAAUAAUGUCCCUCAUGCACAUGAAUUCACAAAUGCCUGUUCAAUGUAGCUGGAGAGCUUCUCUCCAGGUCCCACCAAGCCCCUGCAGUCCCACAGCCCACUUAUAAAAUAAACACACAGGCACUUAUAUUAUUUAAACUGUUGGGCCAUUAGCUCAGGCCUACCAUUAACUAGCUCUUACACUUAACUCAGCCCAUUUCUGUUAAUCUAUAUGUCGCCACGUGUUCCGUGGCUUUACCUGUUGUCUUUUCAAGCUGCUCCCUGGACGGCAGGCUGGCGUCUCCCUGACUCCACCUUCCUGUUUCCCCAAUUCUACUCUCUGUUAGUCCUGCCUAUACUUCCUGCCUGGCUACUGGCCAAUCAGCAUUUUAUUUGUCAAUAAAUCAUCCACAGCAGUUCAAAGCUCUUAUUUCCAUUCUUCUGUGCAGAUAUCUGAAAAUGGGAUCACUAGAUCACAUGGAAGUUGUGUUUUUAUUUUAUUGAGGUACCACCAAACAUAUACUACAAGGUGAUAUCACUUUAUGUUCCCAUCAGGUACCCACAACCCCCGCCCCCAGUGUCUUCACUGAUGCUAAAUACUGUUUGUCUUGUAGUAAAGUUUAAUUUCCUUGUGGUCUUAAUUUAUUUUUCCCUAAAGAUGAAUAAUGUUAAGUAUGUUUUCACAGGCUUUUUGUCCAUGUGCUGGUCUUCCUUAGAGAAAUGACUAUGCAAGCCUUUCAUCAGUUUUAGUUGGCAGGUUGUUAUUAUUGUGAACUGUCCUUUGUGUGUGACAUAAAAUAUUCAUUUUAAAAUUAUUUCUCCACUGAAUUAUACUUUUGUUUGUAUUACAUGGGUCACAACAAGCUGUAAGGAAGAGCUGGUGAAUUAGCCUAUCUCAGUAGGCCAUGCACCUAGUUUAUAUGUAGGGAUUCUAUUAUUCUGGCAAAAUGUGAGAAUGGGUCAUGGUUAGUGUGUAGCCAAGUCAUAUGUGCCCAAAACUUAUAUCUCACGGUUUCCAUCAAAAAGCCUUUGUCCAUAAGCAGAACUACCCGCUGAGAGAGGGAAAUGGCAUAUGGCUUAUGAAUGGUAUUUUAGAUAGACAACCUUCCUGGUUUUGAUAUUAGCUUGUUAGAAUAUUACAAAGCACAAUAAUAUGGAAAUUCAUAUUUUUUACAAUAUUUCAUGGAUAUAUAAGCACCUGACUUAGAGCUCUUCUACAUGGGCCAGGCAGUUUGUUUAGUAUUUCUACUAGGUCAAUACAUAACUGGUUUUUCCUUUAUAUUCCAGUUUAUUUUUGUGGUACUGGGCAUCAAACCUAGGGACCCUUUCUCCAUGUUAAGCAAGUGUUCUACUACUGAACUAUAUCCAAAGCUCAUGUUUUUGUGAGUUUUAUUCAGUUAUUUUCAUCUGAAUCCUUAAACAUUCAAAACUCUUGUUAAUGAUGUCAUAGCUCCAAAGAACUUAGCAAGGUAGUAUUAAUAGUUUUAGAAAAUUAUUUCCCUCAUAUGUCUAUGGCAUCCACAUUCCAAUGAUAAGUCCACCUGUGUCAGGAUUUAAUGUAUUUUUUAAAAAAGUAGGGCAAUGGUGGCACACACCUUUAAUCGCAGCACUGGGGAGGUAAAGACAGGUGGAUCUCUGAGUUCAAGGCCAGCCUAAUCUACAGACUGAGUUACAGGGCAGCCAGGGCUACACAGAGAAACCCUGUCUGAAACACCAUGCCACCAUCGUAGUUAGGGUUUUUAUUGCUAUGAAGAGACAUCAUGACCAUGGCAACUCUUAAAAGGGAAAACAUUUAAUUGGGUGGCUUACAGUUUAUGGUGUGACAUGGUGGCAUGCAGGCAGACAUGGUGCUGGAGAUAGGAGAUGGAGCUGGGAUUCCUAUAUCUUGACUUGUAGGCGACAGGAAGUCGUCUGUCUCACUGGGCAUGGCAUAUUUGAGACCUCAAAGGCCACCUCUACAGUGACACACUUCCUCCAGCAAGACCACACUGCCUCCAAUAAGGCCACACCUCCUAAUAGUGCCACUUCCUUUGGGGGGCAUUUUCUUCUAAAUCAACACACACACACACACACACACACACACACACACACACACACACACACACACAUACACACAUCCAAAAAAUGGCAUAAAGGCUGAGGUGGCUCAGCAGUCAAGCCUCAUUUAUCUAAGUUUAAUCCUUAGAACUCAUAUAGUGGAAGAGAGACCUGACUCCUGACAGUUGUCCUCUGCCCCUCAUGGUGUGUGUAUACACACAUGGCAAAUGCACAGGUAUUUAAAAUAAUGACAUAAUAUAUAUAUUUUUGGAAUACGAGUAUUGAUCAGGCCUCAAAAGAAAAGAAGACAUUACUCAAUAAUUGAAAGCAUCAAAGCACUUAUCAAUAAGCACCCAUAAUAUGUAUUAUUAUUUGUUAUUGUAUUUUGUUCCAUAAAGCAAAUUCAGAGUUUACUAAGAAGAGGCUUCAUUACAGAUUUAAGUAUAAGUAACUGAAGCAAGACACACACACAAAAGAAAAGGGCAGUUUCACAUACCCAUGAGCAGUUAGUGUGAGUAAGCAUCUCAUGAAUCACUUAUUAUUGUUUAGAAAGACUUUGUACAUUUCAAGUUGCUUUUUUUUAAAAUGAUCUCUAGGCUGUCACUGAAGGAGUUAAGAUACCUACAAAAAAUGCCAUAUGGGAACAGUAAAAACUCUGAGGGGGCUACAAUCUCUAGAACUAUAGAUGAAUAGAGCCAGCAGCAUCCUUUCUCUUAUACCUGUUGCCAUAGAGACAUCACACGCUGUUGUGAUCCAAGGGGUCAAGGGUCUUGUGAACUGAUGAACCACGGUGGAGAGUGGCUGACACAAAAGCAGCAUGCAUUCAAAUGAGGAGGUUUAAAAUACAAAGCCAUGGAUUUUAUGCAUUUCUGUAUAGUUUAAAAUAUUUGAAUUGCAAGUUAAAAAUGUUGAUCGUUCGAGUAUCUACCUUUGAAGACUUACUCUUUUUACAAAUCUGAACAUUUGCAGAAAAGCACACAUGAG